rnacentral:rRNA from 1 species
AGUCACUGCUAUUGGGAUCGACUAAGACAUGCAAGUCAGAGCAGCAAUGCUCGGCGAACGGCUCAGUAACACGUAGUCAACCUGCCCUUAGGUAAGGAAUAACCUCGGGAAACUGAGGAUAAUACCUUAUAGGGGAUAAGAACUGGAACGCCUUAUCCUUUAAAGUCUCGGCGCCUAAGGAUGGGACUGCGGCUGAUUAGGCUGUUGGUGGUAUAAAGGACCACCAAACCUAUGAUCAGUACGGGUCAUGAGAGUGAUAGCCCGGAGAAGGGGACUGAGACAAGGCCCCUAGCCCUACGGGGUGCAGCAGUUAAGAAUCCUUUACAAUGCACGAAAGUGUGAUAAGGGGAUCCCAAGUGUUGCAGUUCUACUGUAACUGUGGCGGAAUGUAAAAUAUUCUGCAAGAAAGGGGUGGGUAAUACCGGUGCCAGCAGCCGCGGUAAUCCCGGAGCCCCGAGUGGUGGCCGUUAUUAUUGGGCCUAAAGCGCCCGUAGCCGGAUGAGUAAGUUCUCAGUGAAAUUGUCCAGCCUAACUGAACGAAUUGCUUUGAAUACUGCUCAUCUAGGGAGCGGGGGAGGUCAGGGGUAUGCUUGGGGGAGGGGUAAAAUCCUUUAAUCCUAAGUGGACCAUCAGUGGCGAAGGCGCCUGACUAAAACGCAUCCGACGGUGAGGGACGAAAGCUAGGGUAGCAAACGGGAUUAGAUACCCCGGUAGUCCUAGCCGUAAACGCUGCCCGCUGGGUGUUGCGCAUUCCUCGUGUCUGUGCAGUGCCGCAGUGAAGACGUUAAGCGGGCCGCCUGGGGAGUACGGUCGCAAGGCUGAAACUUAAAGGAAUUGGCGGGGGAGUACAACAAGAGGAGAAGCCUGCGGUUU